rnacentral:rRNA from 1 species
AGAGUUUGAUCCUGGCUCAGGACGAACGCUGGCGGCGCGCCUAACACAUGCAAGUCGAGCGAGAACCAGGGCUUCGGCCCUGGGGACAGCGGCGAACGGGUGAGUAACACGUGGAUAACCUGCCCUCGGCACCGGAAUAGCCCGGGGAAACCCGGAUUAAUGCCGGAUGGCCCCACAUCCCUGCGGGGAACGUGGGAAAAGGUAGCUUCGGCCUCUGGCCGAGGAUGGGUCCGCGGUGGAUUAGCUUGUUGGCGGGGUAAUGGCCCACCAAGGCGACGAUCCAUAGCUGGUCUGAGAGGACGAUCAGCCACACUGGGACUGAGACACGGCCCAGACUCCUACGGGAGGCAGCAGUGGGGAAUCUUGCGCAAUGGGCGAAAGCCUGACGCAGCGACGCCGCGUGCGGGAAGAAGGCCUUCGGGUUGUAAACCUCUUUCAGGAGGGACGAAGCUACUCGGGUGAAUAGCCCAGAGGGUGACGGUACCUCCAGAAGAAGCCCCGGCUAACUACGUGCCAGCAGCCGCGGUAAUUC